rnacentral:snRNA from 1 species
GAUUAUCAGUUUAUUCCAUUGGAGCGAUACAGAGAUGAUUAUUAUGGCCCCUGCGCAAGGAUGAUUGGCAAAUUUCCUCGAAAAAUUACGAAUUUUU